rnacentral:rRNA from 1 species
CAGGAUGAACGCUGGCGGCAUGCCUAAUACAUGCAAGUCGAACGGGGUGCUUGCACCCAGUGGCGAACGGGUGAGUAACACGUAUCUAAUCUACCCAUUAGCGGGGGAUAACAGUUGGAAACGACUGCUAAUACCGCAUACGACAUUUUCUGGCAUCAGAGAAUGUUAAAAGGUCCGUUUGGACCACUAAUGGAUGAGGGUGCGGCGUAUUAGUUAGUUGGUGGGGUAAUGGCCUACCAAGACAGUGAUACGUAGCCGAACUGAGAGGUUGAACGGCCACAUCGGGACUGAGACACGGCCCGAACUCCUACGGGAGGCAGCAGUAGGGAAUUUUUCACAAUGGGCGAAAGCCUGAUGGAGCAAUGCCGCGUGACUGAAGACGGUCUUCGGAUUGUAAAGGUCUGUUGUAAGGGAAGAACAGUAAGUAU